rnacentral:rRNA from 2 species
CCUACGGGGGGCUGCAGUGGGGAAUAUUGGACAAUGGGCGCAAGCCUGAUCCAGCCAUGCCGCGUGAGUGAUGAAGGCCUUAGGGUUGUAAAGCUCUUUUAGCAGGGACGAUAAUGACGGUACCUGCAGAAAAAGCCCCGGCCAACUUCGUGCCAGCAGCCGCGGUAAUACGAAGGGGGCUAGCGUUGCUCGGAAUCACUGGGCGUAAAGCGCACGUAGGUGGGUCGUUAAGUCGGGGGUGAAAUCCCAGAGCUCAACUCUGGAACUGCCUUCGAUACUGGCGACCUUCGAGUUCGGGAGAGGUGAGUGGAACUGCGAGUGUAGAGGUGAAAUUCGUAGAUAUUCGCAAGAACACCAGUGGCGAAGGCGGCUCACUGGCCCGAUACUGACACUGAGGUGCGAAAGCGUGGGGAGCAAACAGGAUUAGAUACCCGAGUAGUC